UACGUAGGGUGCAAGCGUUAAUCGGAAUUACUGGGCGUAAAGCGUGCGCAGGCGGUUGUGCAAGACCGAUGUGAAAUCCCCGGGCUUAACCUGGGAAUGGCAUUGGUGACUGCACGGCUAGAGUGUGUCAGAGGGGGGUAGAAUUCCACGUGUAGCAGUGAAAUGCGUAGAGAUGUGGAGGAAUACCGAUGGCGAAGGCAGCCCCCUGGGAUAACACUGACGCUCAUGCACGAAAGCGUGGGGAGCAAACAGG
rnacentral:rRNA from 1 species